CCCGGCAAAAGGCCAGUGAAAUUAUGAAAUGACUUUAGCCAUGAUAUACCACCACGCUGGAGGGGAAAUCUGUCUGAGACCUCAGGUGGUGAGGGAGAAGUGACAGGAGAGAAUUGAUGAGCUGCACGUGGGGCUGCGAUUCUCUGACAGAUACAUCAGGAAAGGAAUCCCUGUCACCCAAAUGGCUGAGCUCUUUUCUACAUAAUAUUUGUUUCAAAUGCAUGAGAUGCUGCAGCAUCACAUCAGAGAGGAAAUGGCUUGAUCUUUGCCUGUGUUCAAUGGGCAAGCUCUGUGAUUCAGACCCUAAUUUCCUUGAGGUAUUGCUCUGCCCCAUUGACUAGAGCUGAGUGGAACUGUCAAGCAAGACAUCUUAUCCUACCAUGGCCAGAGUCACAUACUCGGGCUUUAAGAGAAAUAUGGAGCAAAAGGGAAAAGAGACGCAAGUGAAAUUUUGCUGCCAUGACUCAGAUCAGGGAACCUCCCUUGGGAGAUCAAUCCCCUGUCCUCCUGCUCUUUGUUCCGUGAGAAAGAUCCACCUAUGACUUCUGGUCCUCAGACCAAGGAACAUCUCACCAAUUUUAAAUCCGUUCCUUUCCUUUUCUGGUGAUGCAGAAGAUGCGUUUUAUCCAUGGACCCAAAACUCUGGCGCCAGUCACGGACUCAGGAAGACAGUCUUCCCUUGGUGUUUAAUCAUGCGGGGAUGUCUGCCUGAUUAUUCACCCACAUUUCAGAGGUGUCUGACCACGUGGGGAUGCCUGCCUUGGUCCUUCACCCUUAGCAGCAAGUACUGCUUUUCUGGGGGGCAAGGACCCCCCUGACCCCUUCUCUCCAUGUCUCUACCCCUUCUCCACUUUUCUGGGGGGCAAGAACCCCCCCAACCCCUUCUCCUUCACCCUUAGUGGCAAGUACCGCUUUUCUGGGGGGCAAGAACGCCCAGACCCCUUCUCUCCGUGUCUCUACCCCUUCUCCGCUUUUCUAGGGGGCAAGAACCCGCUGACCCCUUCUCUCCGUGUCUCUACUCUCUCUUUUCUCUUGGCUCGCCUCCUUCACUAUGGGCAGCCUUCCACCCUCCAUUCCUCCUUCUCCCUUAUCCUGUGUUCUCAAGAACUUAAAACCUCUUCAACUCACACCUGACCUAAACCUAAAUGCCUUAUUUUCUUCUGCAAUGCCACUUGACCCCAUUACAAACUUGACAGUGGUUCCAAAUAGCCAGAAAACAGCAUUUUCGAUUUUUCCAUCCUACAAGAUCUAGAUAAUUCUUAUCGUAAAAUAGACAAACCGUCUGAGAUGCCUGACGUCCAGACAUUCUUUUACACAUUGUUUCCUCCCUAGUCUCUGUUCCCAAUGCGACUCAUCCCAAAUCCUCCUUCUUUCCCUCCCUCCUGUUCUCUCAGUCCCAACCCCAAGCAUCACUGAGUCUUUCUAAUCUUCCUUUUCUACAGACCCAUCUGACUUCUCCCCUCCUCCCCAGGCUGCUCCUUGCCAGGCCCAGCCAGGUCCCAAUUCUUCCUCAGCCUCUGCUCCCCCACCCUAUAAUCCUUUUAUCACCUCCCUCAUCACACCAGGUCUGGCUUACAGUUUAAUUCCUCGACUAUCCCUCCCCCACCUGCCCAGCAAUUUCCUCUUAAAAAGGUGGCUGGAGCUAAAGGCAUAGUCAAGGUUAAUGCUCCUUUUUCUUUAUCUGACCUCUCCCAAAAUCAGUUAGCAUUUAGGCUCUUUUUCAUCAAAUAUGAAAAACCCAGCCCAGUUCAUGGUUCGUUCAGCAGCAACCCUGAGAUGCUUUACAGCCCUAGACCCUAAAAGGUCAAAAGGCCGUCUUAUUCUCAAUAUACAUUUUAUUACCCAAUCCGCUCCUGACAUUAAAUAAAACUACAAAAAUUAAAUUCCGGCCCUCAAACCCCACAACAGGACUUAAUUAACCUUGCCUUCAAGGUGUACUAUAAUAGAGUAGAGGCAGCCAAGUAGCAAUGUAUUUCUGAGUUGCAAUUCCUUGCCUCCACUGUGAGACAAACCCCAGCCAUAUCUCCAGCACACAAGAACUCCAAAUGCCUGAACCGCAGCUGUCAGGGGUUCCUCCAGAACCUCCUCCCCCAGGAGCUUACUACAAGUGCUGGAAAUCUGGCCACUGGGCCAAGGAAUGCCCACAGCCCGGGAUUCCUCCUAAGCCAUGCCCCAUCUGUGUGGGACCCCACUGAAAAUCGGACUGUUCAACUCACCUGGAAGCCACUUCCAGAGCCCCUGGAACUCUGGCCCAAGGCUCUCUGACUGACUCCUUCCCAGAUCUUCUUGGAUAAGCAGCUGAAGACUGAUACUGCCCGAUUGCCUCGGAAGCCUACAGGACCAUCGCAGACGCUCUGGGUAACUCUCACAGUGGAAGGUAAGUCCGUCCCCUUCUUAGUCAAUACGGAGGCUACCCACUCCACAUUACCUUCUUUUCAAGGACCUGUUUCCCUUGCCUCCAUAACUGUUGUGGGUAUUGACGGCCAGGCUUCUAAACCUCUUAAAACUCCCCAACUCUGGUGCCAUCUUAGACAACAUUCUUUUAUGCACUCCUUUUUAGUUAUCCCCACCUGCCCAGUUCCCUUAUUAGGCCGAGACAUUUUAAUUGAAUUAUCUGCUUCCCUCACUGUUCCUAGAUUACAGCCACACCUCACUGCUGCCCUUUACCCCAGUUCAAAGCCUCCUUCGCAUCCUCCUCUUGUAUCCCCCCCCACCUUAACCCACAAAUAUAAGACACCUCUACUCCCUCCUUGGCGACUGAUCAUGCACCCUUUACCAUCCCAUUAAAACCUAAUCACCCUUACCCCACUCAAUGCCAAUAUCCCAUCCCACAGCACGCUUUAAAAGGAUUAAAGCCUGUUAUCAC
rnacentral:lncRNA from 1 species